rnacentral:sRNA from 1 species
GAAAGACGCGCAUUUGUUAUCAUCAUCCCUGUUCUCAGAGAUGCAUAUUUGGCCACAGGUAUCGUGGCCUUUU